GCAGGGUGUGGGAUAGCCAUGUUUGAAUCUUGGUUCAUCUGCUUAUUGGCUGUUCGAGCUUGGAAGCCUGUCCUGCUACAGUUAGACGAGGGUCAAGAAAGAUGAUUCAGAAGCACGUCCUGUGAGAGUCUCCAUGCCAUGCACAGAGGUCAGUUUGGGAGUGGCGAGCAGAUCUGAGAGUCUACGAUAGAACAUGCUGCUGGAUCUUGAACUUCUCUGAUUCCUCUCAUCCCUGAACACCUGAAUGGAUUAUUGUAACAAUUGAAGGACCCAAUGCUCUGAAAGCACAACCUGGUUCCAAAACUUUUUUGAGACUCGGCUCUCCCAUGUCUUAUCCACCUUGUAGGAGUGUCUGAAGAUGCCGUAUGGAAGGCUGCGAAAAG
rnacentral:lncRNA from 1 species